CACCGACUCGCCGUGAUAAUUGCAAAGUCGCAUUCAAAUUGCUCUGUAUUUUUCGCGAUGAUUAUCGGUCGCAAGAACUUUCGUCUAUCUAUAUAUAUUAAAUAAAUUAUUGUAAGCCAUUAUUUCAAACAUAAUUUCGUGUAUUAUUAAGAUAUUUCAUAUCUCAAAUAACUACUAAUUCGUGCCAAUGUCAAUGGUAUCAGAAGUCACGUACAAUUGCCGUUAUCGCGAUACCGAUCAGAUUUGCUCGUUCGGAAUCCGCGUCUUCGUAUUUUUUUGCCGAUGUCUCGAAGAUGCAUGAUCGUUAUCAAUCCACGACGAUCGAGUAUCUAGAUGCGGGGCCCUAAAAAAUCCGUCACUUGGCAGCGAAGGAAGGCAGCAACUGGCGUUUACUGCUCUGCGGUUGGCAGUACCCUUUCGGGAAUCGCCAUGUCUCUCUUCAAUACGCCUAGUCACAGUCGUAGUCGGGACGCGCCGCGGCGAUUGUAGGAUCGCACUUGAAUCGCUCCGCGUAUUUCCACAACUGUUCAAAGAAUUUUGCACGCGAGAAAUGUAUGUGGUGAAUAUCCCUCGUCGGGCGUUACCGCGAAUAUCUCUUCGUAGCGCAAUAUCACGAAAGUAUAUCACGCAAACGCUAUUAUUACGCGCGAUUUCAAUUCCGGCGAUUCGGCCGCUUCUACAUUACAUACUCGGAAUUGAUCGAAAUCACUUCUGCGAAAUGCAUCGAAAGGGGCAAUACGCAAACGAUCACGUGUGGACAGGGCGCAUCGUUUUGUAAUAUGUGAAGGAUCGAUCGAGGAUCGAGAUCGAUCGUCUCCAUAGUACGUGGUAUUAUUGGCUCGCGGUCGCAACGACGUGAACGUCCGUCGUCCAUCUGUGAUGUUAUCGAUCGCCCGUCAGAAUCGUUUCCACCGACAUCACGUUCAACCAUCGUUAAAAUCGUUCGCCACGUGCUCGCUCGCUCGCACGCGCGCGCAUGUACCACCGGGCGUUGCAGAAAUUUUCGAAGGAGCCCGAGGAAGCGAGAUAAAGUUCAAAAGUUGCAGCGAUAACGGAUAUUAGAUUAAGCCGCUGAUGGAUUCCUGGUGGUCCACCCUCGUCGGGGUUUUCUUUACACGAAGAUGCAAAUACUCCAACAAUCGUCCCGUACGGCGGACGUCGAGCAGUUAGGUGCAUGUGCUACAUAAAAGUAAACGCAGUCCAUUAUCCCGAUCUGGCUUGCACGCAAAUGCGCGGGCGCUUAUGGUGGCAAUUCGCACCUACCAAUUGCAUGCAUGGAAACUCGAGAGACAAACUGCCUCGACUGCAAUCAAGCGUAUUGUGGCGAUUUUGUAAUAAUUGACUGCACACAUCAAGAACUGUUAUGUCACGCGGAAACAAAAUGUAAUUUUUCACGAAAUCGUCAGCAGCGAAAUUAUAAUUAGCCACUUGUUUGAGAAUUUAACGAAUUUAUCGUAGAUAAAUGUGGAAAGUUAUAAAUUUACGAUUGUUAAAAAAUCCAACGAUUUCGAUCAUUUUAAAUUCAAAUAUCUCGAAGUUAAAUAACAUGUAACAUCUCACACACAAACGUAGUUUUUUAAAAAUUUAAAACUCU